AUUGAACGCUGGCGGCAGGCCUAACACAUGCAAGUCGAACGGCAGCGGGGGAUAGCUUGCUAUCCUGCCGGCGAGUGGCGGACGGGUGAGUAAUGCAUGGGGAGCUGCCCAAUCGAGGGGGAUAACAACUGGAAACGGUUGCUAAUACCGCAUACGCCCUGCGGGGGAAAGGUGGGGACCUUCGGGCCUACCGCGAUUGGAUGCACCCAUGUGGGAUUAGCUAGUUGGUGAGGUAACGGCUCACCAAGGCGACGAUCUCUAGCUGGUCUGAGAGGAUGACCAGCCACACUGGAACUGAGACACGGUCCAGACUCCUACGGGAGGCAGCAGUGGGGAAUAUUGCACAAUGGGGGAAACCCUGAUGCAGCCAUGCCGCGUGUGUGAAGAAGGCCUUCGGGUUGUAAAGCACUUUCAGUGGGGAGGAAGGGCUGAUGACUAAUAUUCAUCAGCAUUGACGUUACCCACAGAAGAAGCACCGGCUAACUCCGUGCCAGCAGCCGCCGUAAGAC
rnacentral:rRNA from 1 species